GCUGGGUGUGGUGGCGCAUGCCUGUAAUCCCAGCUACUUGGGAGGCUGAGACAGGAGAAUCGCUUGAACUCGGGAGGCGGAGGCUGCAGUGAGCUGAGAUCACGCCACUACACUCCAGCCUGGGCAACAGAGCGAGACUCUGUCUCAA
ensembl:misc_RNA Metazoa_SRP Metazoan signal recognition particle RNA